UUAAGAACCAUUGGACGGAAGUUGUAUGCCGUCAAUAUACACACUACAGUUGCCUCUUUAACCAGGCAAGGUGUCAGUGCUCGUUUUUCUGGUACGCCAUUUUCUCUGAAGCAGAUAAGACUGAUUAAUAGAGACAUACACAACAAACCACUUUGCAGUUUUAAGUAAGCUUUAUGACGCGAAAAUCGAUGAUGGCAUCUCCAGCCCCGACUCAUUAGAAUGGUGAUCUAGCUCCAAAUAAUUGUUGAGCUAUUGGGGCAGAACGUUUCCCAAAGGAUAAGUUUGGUUUAAAAGCCUAUCGAGCGGACAUCACGCACCAAACAUCAGUCCAUGGAUCCAUCUCCUUGUUCUUUCAUUAGGCCUAAGUAAACUGAAGGGUGUGGCCCACCUACGCGCUGUUCUACCUGCCGUUAUCCCACCCACACGGAGAGGGGGAAGGACAGGCUCAUUUCUGUUUCCUCCUCUUCCCCACUCUCCCAGUCUGCCCUUUGUCCUCUCUCAAAGUCAAGAUGGCCCUUGUGUGAUGGAUACAGUUACGAAGAGCUCAGUAGUGGGUCCACGCCUCAUG